AUUAUUAUUUAUUGUUAUCAAGGGAUUUGGUUUGAUCAAUGAAGUGUAUAUGCGUCUGACGGACAUUGGGAGAGGAAAUGCUUGGAGAAUGAGUAACAUGUCUGCAGCGGAGGGUGUGUGUGAGGGAGAGAAGAGGGAGCAUCGGUACUAGAAACACUGACUGAUGAGUUCAUUUUAAAAUCCAAGGGCAUCUAGCUGCCAGAGGGAUGCUAGGGCGAGGAGCUGCAGUCCCACCACUUCCCACCACCCCCUUUCCCAAUCCACCCCCCCACCCCCCCCCCCUUUCCCAAUCCACCCCAUUCCCUUCCCCUUCUCUCUCUUCCCAACCCUUUUUCCGUGGGGCGGGAGCGGCUCCCCCGGAGGCUCCCGGGGCUGGUGCCCGGGGACCGAGGAUGCGACGACGGGUCCUCCCGGGAGCUUAAGAGAUUAUUGGGGAGGGGUGAGUGGGGCUGGUGUGUGUGUGUGUGUGUGUCUGUAUCCGUGUGUGUGUGUCUUGUCUGUGUGUGUCUUGUCUGUGUGCGUGUGUGCGAGGCUGGCGGCGGGGGGAGCCGCGUCCUUAUUCUGUUAAAGAUUUAAGUAGGCAUGCAAGGAAUCUCUAGGAUAGUUGGCAAAGGGCGAGGGUGGGGAAAGGGGGGGGGGGGGGAAGGAUCCAAAAGAGUCUGUAACCAGACACUGAAGCUUUCCAGGAGUGAGAGUGUGUGAGAGAGACGGAGACAGAGCGAGAGGAAGAGAGGGGGCAGUGUGGUCUAGUACAUUUUCAUCUGGUCGUUGAUUUGAGCCUGAUGCUUGCUGUCCCUCAACAGCCUCCCUUGCCUGGAUUUUUUCUUCCCCCCCCCUCUCCUCCUCUCCUCUCCCUUCUACUUCAUCGAAGCCUAGGGGAGCCAGUAAAGAUUAAAUGUGCUUUCUAAAAGGCAGCCACUUCAUGCAGCUAUGUCUACUCCCCCCCCCCCCCACCUCCCCAGCUACCCCCCUUCCCCCUUUUUGAAAUUAAAAAAAAAAAAAAUAGGAAAAGGAGAGAGGGGGAGACAGAGAGGGGGAAGAAGGAAGGAGGAGGAAGAGGAGGACUAUAGUUUAAUGAUGCCGGGACUGGCUGAUCCAGAAGGAGGGAAAAAAAAAAAAAAACAA